rnacentral:rRNA from 1 species
UACGUAGGUGGCAAGCGUUGUCCGGAUUUACUGGGCGUAAAGAGCGCGCAGGCGGCUGGUCAAGUCCGAUGUGAAAUCUCCCGGCUCAACUGGGAAACUGCAUCGGAAACUGAUCGGCUUGAAGGUGGGAGAGGGUAGUGGAAUUCCCGGUGUAGUGGUGAAAUGCGUAGAGAUCGGGAGGAACAUCAGUGGCGAAGGCGGCCAUCUGGGACAACACUGACGCUGAAGCACGAAAGCGUGGGGAGCAAACAGG